AGUGAACGCUGGCGGUAGGCCUAACACAUGCAAGUCGAACGGCAGCACAGUAAGAGCUUGCUCUUACGGGUGGCGAGUGGCGGACGGGUGAGGAAUACAUCGGAAUCUACUUUUUCGGGGAGGAUAACGUAGGGAAACUUACGCUAAUACCGCAUACGAUCUACGGGUGAAAGCAGGGGAUCUUCGGACCUUGCGCGAUUCAAUGAGCCGAUGUCGGAUUAGCUAGUUGGCGGGGUAAAGGCCCACCAAGGCGACGAUCCGUAGCUGGUCUGAGAGGAUGAUCAGCCACACUGGAACUGAGACACGGUCCAGACUCCUACGGGAGGCAGCAGUGGGGAAUAUUGGACAAUGGGCGCAAGCCUGAUCCAGCCAUACCGCGUGGGUGAAGAAGGCCUUCGGGUUGUAAAGCCCUUUUGUUGGGAAAGAAAAGCAGCAGGUUAAUACCCCGCUGUUCUGACGGUACCCAAAGAAUAAGCACCGGCUAACUUCGUG
rnacentral:rRNA from 1 species